rnacentral:rRNA from 1 species
UACAGAGGUCCCAAGCGUUGUUCGGAUUUACUGGGCGUAAAGGGUGCGUAGGUGGUCGGGUAAGUCUCAUGUGAAAUCCCGCAGCUCAACUGCGGAACGGCAUGGGAUACUAUUCGGCUCGAGGAUUGGAGGGGGGACUGGAAUUCCCGGUGUAGCAGUGAAAUGCGUAGAUAUCGGGAGGAACACCAGUGGCGAAGGCGAGUCCCUGGACAAUUCCUGACGCUGAGGCACGAAAGCCAGGGGAGCAAACAGGAUUAGAAACCCCCGUAGUCC